rnacentral:rRNA from 1 species
GAUGAACGCUAGCUACAGGCUUAACACAUGCAAGUCGCGGGGUAGCAUGGCGGUUGCUUGCAACGCCUGACGACCAGCGGCGUACGGGGGAGUAACGCGUCCCCAACCUGCCCUUCACCACGGGAUAACUCGGCGAAAGUCGGACUAAUACCGUAUGUUGUCCAUUGUCGGCAUCCGAUUUGUAUGAAAGGGUUGGGGGUGAGCGGACGGGGAUGCGUUCGAUUAGCUUGUCGGCGGGGUAACCGCCCACCGUGGCCACGAUCGGUAGGGGUUCUGAGGGGAAGGACCCCCACACUGGAACUGAGACACGGCCCAGACACCGACGGGCGGCAGCAGUGAGGAAGAUUGGUCGAUGGGCGUAAGCCUGAACCAGCCAAGUAGCGUGCAGGAUGACGGGCCUAUGGGUUGUAAACUGCUUUUAUGCGGAGAUAAAGUGGCCCACGUGUGGGCUUUUGCAGGUACCGGAUGAAUAAGGACCGGCUAAUUCCGUG